ensembl:snoRNA T23D8.13 ncRNA
GAUUCGCGAGCUUUUAUGACAAAAGACUAAACGAGCUUUCUUCCCCAUUCAAUUUAUAGAUUACCCCCAUCUGAUUACACAGGUGAUUCGCCGUUUGUAAAAUACUUAUGGCCUCCAAUAUUUUAGAUGCAUUUUGCAAAUCGCGAAUUUCGCUGCAGGACCAUUAACA